rnacentral:lncRNA from 1 species
GGAAAGGCAGACCCACCCUUAAUCUGGGUGGGCACCAUCUAAUCAGCUGCCAGCACAGCUAGAAUAUAAAAUGGGCAGAAAAACAUGAAAAGACUAGACUGACCUAGCCUCCCAGCCUACAUCUUUCUUCCAUGCUGAAUGCUUCCUGCCCUGGAACACUGGACUCUAAGUUCUCAGGUUUUGGGACUUGGACCGGCUCUCCUUGCUCCUCAGCUUGCAGAUGGCCUAUUGUGGGACCCUGUGAUUGUCUAGACUUUGAAGUGAGAAAAAAAAAAAUCUGCUAUGGAGACCAUGAGCCCUUGCAGGAGGAUGAACUGUGACUCCAUUUGAAAGAGAGAUACCCAGAGAGGCCAGGCCUUACCCAGAGAUCAAGGUGGCAGCAUUGGAGCUGGGUUUUGACAGGCACAGCUGCAAAUGCUCACAGGACCAGCAGCAUUGGAAAAGUAAUCACCAGAGCCCUCCACGAAGCCCCUGAUGGGAUAGAUCGGACUUAAGAACAACAGUAUCAACAAAGAGAAUUUUCAGGAAAAGAAGCUCUGCCUUGCUUGUUUAAUUAAAAAAGAAGAUAUAUGGGAAGACAUUUUGCAGAAUGCCUUUUUAGAAAGGCAAAAAAAAAAAAAAAGAAAGAAAAUUCCUCCUACCUAAAGUAAAACAUCAACACUCUUGAAUAGAAAAGAAUUUAGAUUCUGAACUAAAUGGUUUAAUGAGGGACAGAUAAUAAGUGUGAAUUGAAACUAAUUGGUGUUUCAGAUCACUGAGCUGGUUGAAAAACCAUUUGUGAUGAGGUCUGUAUAAGUUAACAGUCGCUUUUAAAUGCCCAAUUAAACAUCGUUCUGUCCCUAGUGAGAAUAAAAAAAUGUAUUGUUGCUUAUUGCUCUAUACUUAACCAAAUGAUUAAAGUGGGUAAUCUGAACAGAUUUAUUUUUUGUGUGUGGUAAAAGGCUCUUUUUUCCCGAGUAGGCUGAUGUAGGUAGC